AUGGGGAUGUUCCCCCCAACCUUCCUGCAGGAUCCAGUCUUCCAACAUCAGAUGCAAUCACUCAUCUCCCCAGCUUACUGUGUUCGCUCGCCUCAUAGCACCAUUAUGAUUCCAAGUAUGCUCAUCAAUGAAUCUGAACCCCUACCUAGACUACCAUCCUCUUGAGGAUCUGCACUCAUAUGCCAAAUGCCUUCCAUGGGCUCAGUGUGGAGUAAGGACUUUCUCCUGGCUUCUGAAUAAAUUGAUUAUGCGGAGUAAGGACUUAUUCCUGGCUUCUGAAUAAAUUGAUUAUCCCAGGAAGGGGAGGAGGGACUGUAAUAUUUUUAUUUUUCUAGAAA
rnacentral:lncRNA from 1 species